AGCGAACGCUGGCGGCAGGCCUAACACAUGCAAGUCGAACGGAUCCUUCGGGAUUAGUGGCGGACGGGUGAGUAACACGUGGGAACGUGCCCUUUGGUUCGGAACAACUCAGGGAAACUUGAGCUAAUACCGGAUGUGCUCUUCGGGUGAAAGAUUUAUCGUCAUUGGAGCGGCCCGCGUCUGAUUAGCUAGUUGGUGAGGAAAAGGCUCACCAAGGCGACGAUCAGUAGCUGGUCUGAGAGGUUGAUCAGCCACAUUGGGACUGAGACACGGCCCAAACUGCUACGGGAGGCAGCAGUGGGGAAUCUUGCGCAAUGGGCGAAAGCCUGACGCAGCCAUGCCGCGUGAAUGAUGAAGGUCUUAGGAUUGUAAAAUUCUUUCACCGGGGACGAUAAUGACGGUACCCGGAGAAGAAGCCCCGGCUAACUUCGUGCCAGCCGCCGCCGUAAUAC
rnacentral:rRNA from 1 species